rnacentral:misc_RNA from 1 species
AUGUAUUCCUUAGUAGAGCUAGCCAACAAUUCUUACGAUAUUGUUCCAGCAAAUAAUGUUAUCUCUUUGGAUGAUACUGAUACUUGUGUCGUAAAAUAUGCAGGAGGAAAAAAAUUAAAAGGCCGGUUUAUCUUAACAGCUAAAACGCAAGAAGAAUUAAAUACAUUUAGAAAGAAACUAAUAUCACCAAAAAUAUCUAUUAGAAAAUGUGAAAUAUUAAAAAAUAAAGUGGUAAAAAUAUCAAAACGCAACUACAAUCAUAGUCAUACUGGAAAUACAUUAAACUCAGCAACAACAUCAACAGCCGUCGAUAAAAAAUUAACACCAGCAAUUGAUAUAAACCUUUCUUAAAUACAAGUACCUAACAAUAAUGAUAACAACAAUAAGCAAACAAAUGUGUAUCACGUGGUUUCUGAUCUUCUUUCCUCAACUCCCAAAAAUAAGUUUUGUCUUUCAAGUGAUCUUGAAAGCAGUGUCACAAGUGAAAUGUCUAGGAUUGCUGAAAAAGUCACUAAUGUGAUUGGAGAUAAGUGGUUAAAUAAUUCUAAUCAAUCUAACUCUUGUAUUUCACAUGAUAAGAUUAGUAGCGCCGAAAUUUUAAAAUCUAAAAAAAUUCAAAUGUCACCUAAUAUAGAUGACUCUCAAAAUUUAACUUCACCUUUCGAAACUUUACAUGAAAAUUCCAUCAAUCCUGAUAGUGAACAAAUUUCUGAGCAACUAACAUUUGAAAAAAAUACUGAAGCGAGUAGCUUAAUAGAGAACUCCCAAAAUGAUCCUGAUUACAGUCAAGAUGCGAGCUUUAGUGGUGAAAAUAUUAACUCCUCUAAAAAUGAUAAAAAUUGUGAAUCUUUAUUAACUGAGUGUGAAAGCCAAGAUGCCUCAACAAUUAAUGAACCUGCAACUGUGGAUCCGAGAAAUUUAAAAAUUUUGACUUCGAAAACCAAACAAAAAAAAUUCAGAGUAAAAAGUUAUUUUUGCCCGUAUUGCCAUUCUGUACAAACUAAAUUUGCUCGGCAUUUAGAAUUGAAACAUAAAGAUAAUCCAGCAGUUCAACAAUUCAUAUCGUAUGAUAAGAAAAACAAACGACGAGCUCAACUAAUUGCUAUCAUUCGGAAAGAAGGACGUUAUCUACACAACACAAGUAAAGAAUUUAACACCGGAAUUCUCAUGACUGCUCGGCAACGCCAGAGAGGAAAAAAAUUUAAAAAAAAAGCUAGUGAUUAUGUAUGCUGCGCUAAAUGUAAAGAUUGGUAUUCUAAAGCUACAAUUAGGAUGCGUUUCGUCAAAUGCGAUGAAAAUCACAAAAAAGGUGAACGUGAAAUCUUAAAAAAAGGACAACGCAAGGCAAAUUUUAUACAUUCACGCGCUAACGAUGUACUGCGUCGAGAUAUCUUUCCUGUAUUUAAAGACGGAAUUUUGAAAGAAACGAUUGCGUUUGAUGAAUUUCUCAUCUUGUAUGGAAAUAAGCUUUGCGACAAAUAUUCACACAAAAGAGAGUAUGAUAUGAUUAGGGCAGAAUUAAGAUAUCUUGCUAAGCUUUUAAUUGCUGCCGAAAAAAUUGAUAGUAGUAUCAAAGAUUAUUCUUCAUUGUUAAGACCGAAACAUGUUGAAACAGCUAUCAGAGCAGUGAAAAAAGUUGCGAAAUGGGAUAAAAAAAAAUCUAAGUUUAUAACACCGUCAAAUGCAACACGACUAACUACAUCCAUCAAAAAGAUUGCAUUGAAAUUCCGUUCAGAAUGCAUAAAAAAUGAAAAUGAUCAUCUGAAAAAAAAAGUAGAUAAUUUUAUAGAACUUUGGACUGAAGAAGUUCCAACCCUUAUAAAUAAAAAAGCUGUCCAAGACCAACAGACUUUACGCAGGAACAAUGAGGAAGAACUUCCUGAAAAAGAAGACAUCAAACUUUUGUAUGAUUAUUUGAAACAAAAAUGCUUGGAUUGCUUAAGCAAUCUUAAGGAAUCAUUUCAUUUAUUAACUUAGGAAUCCUUAGUUAACUACACAGCAGUAUUCGUCCAAAUAUUUAACCGGCGCAGAUCAGUUGAUGUUGAAAUGAUGGUACUAGAUGAUGUGAAAAAACCAAUCAAAAUAAACAGAGAGAUUAACCCCGACAUUUUUGAGAAAUUAUCGAGUGAAUCAAAAAAAUUGGCCGAAAAGUUCACUCGGAUUAUAACGCGAGGUACACGCGGUCGGCCAAUUCCUGUGUUGCUUCACCGCUUUGUCGUAAAGUGUAUUAAAGCAAUUAAUAAGUAUCGUAUUCAAGCUGGAGUCAAAAAAAAUAAUAAUUAUGUUUUUUGUCGGGCAACUUCCAACUCUUUCCAUAAACCGUACAUUAGAAUUUAUCCUCUGUUACGGAAAUAUGCUGAAGAAUGUGGUGCUCAAUAUCCAGAACGACUGAGGGCGACAAAACUACGUAAGCACGUUGCUACGUGUACCGCCAUGAUUGGCUUAGAUGAUAUGGAUGUAGACCGGUUGGCCAAUUUUAUGGGUCACCAUUAGGAGAUCCAUAAAAAUAUCUACAGAGUAGAUGUACCAGUUGCAGAAAUCACUCUUGUUGGCAAGUUAUUGAAAUCAGCGAUGUCUAGUCGAAAGAAUAAAAACUCUGAAGAAAAGUAUGAAAGUAGCAGUAGUAGUGAUGAUAGUAAUGAUGAAUAUGAUGAGGACAGUGAAAACUGUAUUUUAGAGCCAGAAUUAGAACAAAGUAACGAGAGAAAAGUGUCUGUCAAAAUAUCUCACCAGUUAAACAAGCGCCAACGUACUAGUACUGAUGAAAGGAGUAAGAAGAAAAGAAAGAUUAGCUCUCGCACCGAAAAUGUCGAAGAACUUGAGAAACGUAAAAUUAUACGAAAUCAAUGGACUGAUGAGGAAAACGCUGCUGUCGUUAAUGAAUUUGGCACACUAGAACUAUUAAAAAAGGUGCAAUCUGUCUCCAAAUGUCAAAAUGUUAUUAAUAAUAAUCCAGCUUUAAAAAUAAGAACUGUAGAACAAUUGCGAGCACAUAUUAAUAAUCAACUUCGAAAACGAGAACGCUUAAAAUCAUCUACAAAAAAUCUAGAUGAAUAACUUUCUAAAAAAAUUGGUUAAGCUUAUAAUUUAUGUUCUAUGUUAUGGUGAUCAAGUAUUUUUUUGUAUGUUUAUUUUGAAAAAAAUUUUCAUUAAAUUUUCUCAGACAAAUGUUGAGAAAAAAUCCACUAUACUAUUGAACGUAUAAAUUCAUGCCGGUUUGAGAAUAAGAAUUCUCAUAUAUUAUGAAGUGAUUAUUUAAAGCUGACCUAACAAAAUGCGUAUAUGAUUUCAAGAAAUACUUAC